GCGGAAGUGGCGGAAUAGGCAGACGCGCAGGCUUCAGGUGCCUGUGAUCGCAAGGUCGUGAGAGUUCAAGUCUCUUCUUCCGCA
rnacentral:tRNA from 1 species